GGAAGUAAAAGUCGUAACAAGGUCUCCGUAGGUGAACCUGCGGAGGGAUCAUUACAAGAACGCCCGGGCUUCGGCCUGGUUAUUCAUAACCCUUUGUUGUCCGACUCUGUUGCCUCCGGGGCGACCCUGCCUUCGGGCGGGGGCUCCGGGUGGACACUUCAAACUCUUGCGUAACUUUGCAGUCUGAGUAAACUUAAUUAAUAAAUUAAAACUUUUAACAACGGAUCUCUUGGUUCUGGCAUCGAUGAAGAACGCAGCGAAAUGCGAUAAGUAAUGUGAAUUGCAGAAUUCAGUGAAUCAUCGAAUCUUUGAACGCACAUUGCGCCCCCUGGUAUUCCGGGGGGCAUGCCUGUUCGAGCGUCAUUUCACCACUCAAGCCUCGCUUGGUAUUGGGCAACGCGGUCCGCCGCGUGCCUCAAAUCGUCCGGCUGGGUCUUCUGUCCCCUAAGCGUUGUGGAAACUAUUCGCUAAAGGGUGUUCGGGAGGCUACGCCGUAAAACAACCCCAUUUCUAAGGUUGACCUCGGAUCAGGUAGGGAUACCCGCUGAACUUAAGCAUAUCAAUAAGCGGAGGAAAAGAAACCAACAGGGAUUGCUCUAGUAACGGCGAGUGAAGCAGCAAUAGCUCAAAUUUGAAAUCUGGCGUCUUCGACGUCCGAGUUGUAAUUUGUAGAGGAUGCUUCUGAGUGGCCACCGACCUAAGUUCCUUGGAACAGGACGUCAUAGAGGGUGAGAAUCCCGUAUGCGGUCGGAAAGGCGCUCUAUACGUAGCUCCUUCGACGAGUC
rnacentral:sRNA from 1 species